rnacentral:sRNA from 1 species
GAUGAACGGCAAAGCAGUGGAAACGCUUUUCUAUUAUUCUUAAAAAAAGAAAAGAUUAGAACAAAUAGCGCGAAGAUUC